UAAUUUAAAGUCUAACCUGCCCGAUGAGUUCUUCAAUGGCCGCGGUAUCUUGACCGUGCUAAGGUAGCAUAAUCAAUAGUUUUUUAAUUGAAAGCUGGAAUGAAGGGUUGGAUAAGAAAAUAACUGUUUUUAUUUUAUUUAAUUAGAAUUUUAUUUUUAAGUUAAAAAGCUUAAAUUUUAUUAAAAGACGAGAAGACCCUAUAGAGUUUUAUAUUUUUAAAUAUUUUUAGUUUAAGAAUUUACUUUAUAAAUUUUUAAAAUUAUUUAAUUGGGGUGAUUAAAAAAUUUAUAUAACUUUUUUUGUAUAAAUACAUUAUUAAUUGAAUUUUUGAUCCAUAUUUAAUGAUUAUAAGAUUAAAUUACCUUAGGGAUAACAGCGUUAUUUUUUUUGAGAGUUCAAAUCGAAAAAAAAGAUUGCGACCUCGAUGUUGGAUUAAAAUUAAUUUUUGGUGUAGAAGCUAAAAUAUUAGGUCUGUUCGACCUUUAAAAUUUUACAU
rnacentral:rRNA from 1 species